rnacentral:lncRNA from 1 species
CUGAGGUGAGGCGCUGCCCGCGGGGAGGGGCCGCGCCGCCGCCCUUAUCCGCCCGCGCAGCGCCGCCUGGGGCUCGCGAUAGGGCCGGCCGCCCCCAGCUCCCCGCCCUGCCCCGGCGGCGGGCCCCGAUCCCAUUUAUGAAGAUCAAACGUGAUAUCCAUCCUGAGAGCGCAACUGCGGUGAAUAAAUACCUCUGGCUUAGAGCUAAUUAAGAAAUAACAACCCCAGCUGUUGGACCGACCUGCAGAAGCCUUGUUGUAACCCUGACAUCUGCCCGCCUCCAGCAGUCCCUGCGAGUUCCUGGCCACAUCAGCCUUCCCUGGUCCUGCAGCAGCGUGCAGAGGUGAGCAGUCAGGUUCCCCAUCAGGUAAUUCUGGUUCUCCUUCCAGGGCAGCAGCCCCGGUACAGCAGGAAGGCAGCCCAGGUCCUGGCAGGGCGAUGGGAAGGGCCCUUUGUGGGCAGGACUGCCUGCAGAUGGGCUGAAGGAAUCAGUAUUCCACCAACUGCUAGAAGAAAAUUAAACUUUAUUUAAAAAUUCUUCUAAUGUAGAAAACGAGAGGAGACGAAGGCAAAAACGAAUGCCCCUGGUUCCAUCUCAUUACAGGAGUUACUGUAUGUACAGCUUCAGAAAGGAGCACUGGCAGAAGGUACACAUCCUACUUAUGGAGCACUACAAACACUUAACAAUACGUUGUACAAACCUGACGUAACAUUGAAAGGUUCACUGCAGGAAACAAUUAAAUACAGUCGCUAAGACAGACAGUAGAAGAGCACAGACUGAUGUUAUUUCAUCCCGAAUCCUCCGUGUUCCAGGCAGCCCAAACCACCCUCAAUCAGCCCCCACUGCCUUGGUGAGAAGCUGCUGCAUCCCAAAGGAUUGGGAUCGCUCUGCAUGGGCUGGAGGUCAGCGGCACAGAGGGGGACACCACCAAACCCUUUCUAUCCUAGUUUGACUUUCUGGCCAACGUGAAGAACUGAAUCAAAUCAAAGCAGUGAAGCAAUGCUGUGCUGCACCUCGCGUGCCUAUAGGCGGCGUCGCAGCUGAAGGCCCAGCUCGUUGAGCAGUGUACGUUUUUGCACGUGUGGGACAACAACAGAGAGAGCUCGUGAGUUUCCUUUCUCUGUUUUUGAGUUCCCUAUCCCCAAAAUGAAUUUGAUUUCAUGUGUACACGGGCCUUCCCAUACCUAUCCUGUAGGAAAUGGCAAACACUGUUCUUCAGACUGCAUUCUCUAUACAUAUAUAAGUUUUUACACUAUCUACAAAACAGCGAUUAGAUGUUCCUGUUUAAGUUCUUGCUACUCAUUUAAAAAUACCGGAGGAAAAAAAACUGUACAGUUUCCUAAAUUACAUCUUUAGAAGAAUAAUUAUUAUUAUUUUUUAGAAGUUCAUAAAAGACUUCGUGUUUGUUUCUAUAGAGAAUUCAAUGAUCGGACAAGAAAGGUUAG